rnacentral:rRNA from 1 species
AAGAUGGCGACCGGCGCACGGGUGAGUAACACGUAUCCAACCUGCCGAUAACUCCGGAAUAGCCUUUCGAAAGAAAGAUUAAUACCGGAUAGUAUACGAAUAUCGCAUGAUAUUUUUAUUUAAAGAAUUUCGGUUAUCGAUGGGGAUGCGUUCCAUUAGUUUGUUGGCGGGAUAACGGCCCACCAAGACUACGAUGGAUAGGGGUUCUGAGAGGAAGGUCCCCCACAUUGGAACUGAGACACGGUCCAA